rnacentral:rRNA from 1 species
UACGUAGGGUGCAAGCGUUGUCCGGAAUUAUUGGGCGUAAAGAGCUCGUAGGCGGUCUGUCGCGUCGGCUGUGAAAACUCGGGGCUCAACCCCGAGCUUGCAGUCGAUACGGGCAGGCUAGGGUUCGGCGAGGGGAGACGUGGAAUUCCUGUGUAGCGGUGAAAUGCGCAGAUAUCAGGAGGAACACCGGGUGGCGAAGGCGGGUCUCUGGGCCGAUACUGACGCUGAGGGGCGAAAGCGUGGGGAGCGAACAGG